rnacentral:rRNA from 1 species
GCGGCAGGCCUAACACAUGCAAGUCGAGCGGCAGCGGGUCCUUCGGGAUGCCGGCGAGCGGCGGACGGGUGAGGAAUGCAUCGGAAUCUGCCCUGNUCGUGGGGGAUAACGUAGGGAAACUUACGCUAAUACCGCAUACGACCUACGGGUGAAAGUGGGGGACCUUCGGGCCUCACGCGAUAGGAUGAGCCGAUGUCGGAUUAGCUAGUUGGUGGGGUAAAGGCCCACCAAGGNCGACGAUCCGUAGCUGGUCUGAGAGGAUGAUCAGCCACACUGGGACUGAGACACGGCCCAGACUCCUACGGGAGGCAGCAGUGGGGAAUAUUGGACAAUGGGCGCAAGCCUGAUCCAGCCAUGCCGCGUGUGUGAAGAAGGCCUUCGGGUUGUAAAGCACUUUUGUUGGGGAAGAAAACUGCGUGGUUAAUACCCGAGCAGGCUGACGGUACCCAAAGAAUAAGCACCGGCUAACUUCGUGCCAGCAGCCGCGGUAUUGCGAAGGGUGCAGCGUUACUCGGAAUUACUGGGCGUUAAGCGUGCGUAGGCGGUUUGUUAAUUCAAAUGUGAAAUCCCCGGGCUCACCUGGGAACUGCAUUGAAACUGGCAGGCUAAAUACGGUAAAGGUUGUGAAUUCCCG